UCCAAAACGCGUGAUGUGUGACCAAAUUCUUAGGAACACCACGAUUAUUUAAUUAGUACAAGUGCAAUUAACUGUAUUAAGAAAUCGUGUAAGCUUUGUGUGUAAGGCAACUCGGGCACAAUGGCCGUUGUUGCAACUUUUCUCAACUAUUUUCUAUCGCGGGAAAUGCUCGACCGCGAUUACACUUGUGUAUGUAUGUAUGCUAUGUUACGUCAUUUGUAACGAAGUACUGAGAGAUGGAAUUAAUGGAAUUGCAGAAUUUGCAAAACAAAUAUUA